UACGUAGGGAGCAAGCGUUGUCCGGAAUCAUUGGGCGUAAAGCGCGCGUAGGCGGCCCCGUAAGUCCGCUGUGAAAGUCAAAGGCUCAACCUUUGAAAGCCGGUGGAUACUGUGGGGCUAGAGUCCGGAAGAGGCGAGUGGAAUUCCUGGUGUAGCGGUGGAAUGCGCAGAUAUCAGGAGGAACACCAAUAGCGAAGGCAGCUCGCUGGGACGGUACUGACGCUAAGGCGCGAAAGCGUGGGGAGCGAACGAGG
rnacentral:rRNA from 1 species